UUCUACGACGAUAGUAUUUUUUUAUUUUAUUAGUACGGAAAAAAAAAAACGUGCAGUUAUAUUGUAUAUUUUUUUUCAUGAUGGAUAAAGGUUCAGUGGUAUCAUUUUCUUAUAUUUGUUGACUUGAGUUUAUAUUUCAAGACUUUAGGAGAAGUAGUCGAGCUCAAGAUGCGUUCUUAUUAAUAAGAUGGCUCUUAAGUAUGAACUGAGACAAUUCUACACGGAGAAAGACAUAUUUGGGAAUAUGUGCCAGCAAAAUAGCAUACAUACGACAAAUUAAAGAUAUAAGCCAGAUAUAUAAUAUUUUGCGGGAAUAUAUAUUUUUACUGGUGUAAAAAUUUCACUGCUUCCAUUGAAUACAAACCAUUGUACGUUUAAAAAAAAGUUCUUAAAGUUUUUUCUUAUAAUUGUAAAACAAGUAAUCAUGCCCGGGUCAAAAAUAAAAUUUGAUUCAGGCUCGCUUCACCUUAUUUUCUUUGAAGUUAUCGAUUUGCCGACGAUUUUUCGAUAAGAUUUCGACUUUUUCGAUUUAAAUUAAAUUUUUCUCAACUUUUUGAACUUUCCCGAGUCGAAGUAUUAGACGUAAGUCGAACGUUCUUAACGUUUUGAACGUAAUUUGAACGAUUUUUUUGUAUUUUGGUUCAUAAAAAAGUGGUAAUUUCAUAAGUUAUGAUUUUAGUUUAAUGAUAACAUCAAUUAAAUUACUUCAAUAUUUGUAAUCACAAUUUUCAUCACCUUGAUAUCAUAAUAUAUGAACAAAUAUACAUAUAUAGUGUUAAAGAUAGAAGUAUGAAACUGAAAAAAAUUUUUUUUCAAAAUACGAAUUCUUUAUUUAAGAGCCAGAAAAGCGGACGACAAAAUUUUCGGGAAUUAACGUGAUUAUAAUC